rnacentral:rRNA from 1 species
CUCCUACGGGAAGCAGCAGUGGGGAAUUUUGGGACUAAUGGGGGCAACCCGUGAUCCAGCGACGCCGCGUGAAGGAUGAAGGCCUUCGGGUUGUAAACGUUCUUUUAGAGGGGUAUGGAAUGCCUGCGUGAAUAACGCAGGGUGACAGUACUCUUUGAAUAAGCCACGGCUAACUACGUGCCAGCCGCCGCGGUAAUAC